rnacentral:rRNA from 1 species
AUCUAAAUGAUAACUAGUAUGAAUGGUCUGACGAGAAAAUAACUUUCUAAAAAGAAAUAAUAAAAAUUUAUCUUAAAGUAAAAAAGCUUUAAAAACUUAGAAAGACGAGAAGACCCUAGAACCUGUCUAUCUGCAUAGUUUGUUGGGGUGACAUUAUUUUAAAACAAAUAACUAUUUUAACUCAUUAAGAGACUUUACCUAUCUUUUUUAAAAAAAAAAAAGGUACUCUAGGGAUAACAGC